rnacentral:lncRNA from 1 species
AUGAGCAGAGAUCGGUGCAGGGAAGGACUGGCGCCAAAUAUCACCCAUAGGGAAAACGGGCUCCUUCUAGCCCUCUCCCGAGUCGGUUCCGCCCACCACUGCCAUUCCCACCUAAAGCGUGCGGCGGAGCGGGAAAGGGGCGGAGCAAAGCUUGCUUCCUCGUGCCCGGUCCCAGACCGAGGAGGUUCCGGCCGCCCCACCCCCAGCCGUUCCCGCUUAUGGUAUCUGGCGGGGUUGGAAGGGGGCGGGGCUCAGUGGAGGGAUCGCUCCAGCGGAGACCGAGGAAGGUCGUGCUCGGGUGCUCUGCCGCUACUUGCCCAUUGGUGCCGGCCCAGCCCACUUGUGGUUUUAGGAAUCCUUAGACAAGAAGUAUGGCAUCAACAGUCAAUGGAGGGAACCAUAAUAGUAACGUCUGGGAAGCCCACAAAAAUAUGCUGACACAGCCACUGAAAGACAAUGACAUAGAGGUAUAUACAAUCAUUAAGAAGGAACAUCAUCGCCAGAAGACUGGGUUGGAACUGAUUGCUUCAGAGAAUUUUGCAAGCCGAGCAGUUCUGGAAGCCUUGGGUUCUUGCUUGAAUAAUAAAUAUUCAGAAGGAUUCCCA